UCGACGGCAGCGCGGGGCAACCUGGCGGCGAGUGGCGAACGGGCGAGUAAUAUAUCGGAACGUACCCUGGAGUGGGGGAUAACGUAGCGAAAGUUACGCUAAUACCGCAUACGAUCUAAGGAUGAAAGUGGGGGAUCGCAAGACCUCAUGCUCCUGGAGCGGCCGAUAUCUGAUUAGCUAGUUGGCGGGGUAAAAGCCCACCAAGGCAACGAUCAGUAGCUGGUCUGAGAGGACGACCAGCCACACUGGAACUGAGACACGGUCCAGACUCCUACGGGAGGCAGCAGCGGGGAAUUUUGGACAAUGGGCGCAAGCCUGAUCCAGCAAUGCCGCGUGAGUGAAGAAGGCCUUCGGGUUGUAAAGCUCUUUUGUCAGGGAAGAAAUGGUGGGGGCUAAUAUCUCCCGCUAAUGACGGUACCUGAAGAAUAAGCACCGGCUAACUACGUGCCAGCAGCCGCGGUAAUACGUAGGGUGCGAGCGUUAAUCGGAAUUACUGGGCGUAAAGCGUGCGCAGGCGGUUUGUUAAGAUAGGCGUGAAAUCCCCGGGCUCAACCUGGGAACUGCGUUUAUGACUGGCAGGCUAGAGUAUGGCAGAGGGGGGUGGAAUUCCACGUGUAGCAGUGAAAUGCGUAGAGAUGUGGAGGAACACCGAUGGCGAAGGCAGCCCCCUGGGCCAAUACUGACGCUCAUGCACGAAAGCGUGGGUAGCAAACAGGAUUAGAUACCCUGGUAGUCCACGCCCUAAACGAUGUCAACUAGGUGUUGGGUGGGUAAAACCAUUUAGUACCGGAGCUAACGCGUGAAGU
rnacentral:rRNA from 1 species